CGUUGAAAUAACCGGUACCAAUGAACCGUCAAGCUUAACCUUACAACGCCGAAG
rnacentral:rRNA from 1 species